rnacentral:tRNA from 1 species
UGGCAAUUAGCUCAGUGGUAGAGCACUCGACUUUUAAUCGAGCGAUAUUGAAAA